rnacentral:lncRNA from 1 species
GCUCUUCCUAUGGGUCACCUAUUGGAUAAAAUGCAUUAUAGGUUUCUAUCUCACUGAAUUCUCCCAAUAACUCUAUGAAUUAGGGGCUAUAAUUAUUCCCUUCUUUCAGAUGAAGAAACUGACGCUGAGGAAUGUAAGUGGAUUUUCUCUACUUAAUAAGCUUUUAAGUUGAUUGGCUUGGCUUCUAGCUUAGCUCUGCAUGGCUCCAGUGCUCAUGUUUCCAUGAAGGAAUUGAGUGAGAUGAAAAAAGAGAAAGACUUAAUUUUGAAGCUUUCACCCUUCUCUCCAAGGAUGCCCCGAAUCAAGAGCUCAUUGUAGGGCUUUCACAGAGGAAAGAAUUGGGCUGCUGGAAGGAGCAGUUUCCAGAGUCCCUCAGUGCCAGCUCGACUCCGGCUGGAAAGGUGGAUAGUCUGAGUGUUGUCAGCCUCUGUAAGAAGAAAUGAGCAUCCUGGUGACAGCGUUCCCUGCCCUGUGGAGAAGGGAUGCUGUUUAGGACUCUGUGUUGUUGGGUAUUUUAUUUACAAUGUCACCACACAUCAUGUUUUUAAUUGCACAAUCUAAAUUCUUUAAAGAUAAUAAUUUAAUAUAUAUCCUCAUAUUGAUUGCCUUUAAACACAAUUGGUAGCUUGAGUGAAUUUAUCUAAUGUUAUAUAUUGUUGUCCUUGACCACAUAUAAGGAGAAUUUGGCAAAGAAACUAUGUUGAAUAUGCAUUUGCCGAUUCUGAGCUGGGUAAAAUGUAAGCUAAACACAUGCCCAUAGAAAUAAGAAACAAAUAUUUUUCUAUAUUACAGGUUGGUGAAAUACAACCUCAAAGAUUCUUUUUGUUGUAAAAGAAAAAUACUGUUUUUCACUUUGUCACGUAAUUUUGGAACACUUCGCUAGGCAGUGCUAUAAAAGAAAAGUGGACAUUGGGGUACUUAGGCUCUAGUUUUGGCUUUUUCAUUGUACAUCCAGAAUUCCUUGUGUUGUAAGUUGUAAAAAGGACCACUAAAAAAUCACUUAAGCAAAAAGGGAGUUCAACACUUAAGCAAUCAGUGAUUAGUGUAGGUGUGAUUGGGGG